UACGAAGGGGGCUAGCGUUGCUCGGAAUCACUGGGCGUAAAGGGUGCGUAGGCGGGUCUUUAAGUCAGGGGUGAAAUCCUGGAGCUCAACUCCAGAACUGCCUUUGAUACUGAAGAUCUUGAGUUCGGGAGAGGUGAGUGGAACUGCGAGUGUAGAGGUGAAAUUCGUAGAUAUUCGCAAGAACACCAGUGGCGAAGGCGGCUCACUGGCCCGAUACUGACGCUGAGGCACGAAAGCGUGGGGAGCAAACAGG
rnacentral:rRNA from 3 species